AUGGUUGCUUCUUUAUUUGGAAGCACUAGGGUUGUCAAAUAUAUCAUUGACACAAACAUGGUUGAUGUCAACACACAAACUGGUCGUGAAAAUGUCACUGCUUUACAUUGUGUUGGUGGUGGUGGCUCUGAAUCAACUCUUGAAGUUGUUAAGCUCUUAAUUGAUGAUGGAGCUGAUGUUAAUUCCCUUGAUGAAAUGAUUAAGCAUAAAAUUUAA